rnacentral:tRNA from 1 species
GUGUUGUUUCAGAGUGGUAAAGCAUCUAUUUGGAAUUCAGAAGGUUUCAGGUUCGAUCCCUGGGAUCUCCA